AUUUUUGGUUAAAACUGUCGUUGAAACACAAACGAGAGAUUAUUAAAUGGCUUGCACAAAGAUGGACGAUCAGAAUACAUAUCUUCAUGUGCUUCUUCUGCUGAAUAUAAUUGCCGUCUCCAGUUACUGAGGCAGUCCAUUUGGAAAUACAAUGCGUCUCUGGGGUUACAGUAUCCGUGUAUCCAACAAUUCAGACGUACCACCUGGUUCAACAGACGCGUGUUUCACUGAUAACAAAACACACAUAUUACCAACUGUCAUUCAGGAAGAAUGUUGUGAAACAGGGAAAUAUGACCCAAGUUGUUCUAAAACAUGUAGCCAUUGUAUGAAUAAUGAAACCUGUGACAUUGACACUGGAGAAUGUGAUUAUAAUGGGUGUGCGCUUCCGGGGUUUGAAUCACCGUUGUGUAGUGCAUGUAUACCUGGGAUUUAUGGGCGGAGCUGCCAGUUAAGAUGCAGUGAUCAUUGUUACAAUAAUGAAGUUUGUGAUCCCUUCUUUGGAAAUUGUAGCAAAUGUGCGGAUGGUUUCCAGAAUGCUAAGUGUGAUGAACAAUGUGAUGGUGGGUAUUAUGGAAAGAGAUGUAUGUUUCAAUGUGGGGACUGUUUGGAUGAUAAAGCCUGUAACAACAUUAAUGGAACAUGUCCCAGUGGAUGUAUGUCAGGAUGGCAGAACACAGAGAAGUGUGAAAUACCAUGCAGAAAUGGUACGUUUGGAGUAGGAUGCAUGCAUGAAUGCAGUGGAAACUGUUUGAAUAAUGAAACAUGUGACAAAAAAGACGGUGGAUGCAGAAACUGUGAUCCUGGAUUUGAAGGUCAUCUUUGUAAUAAAACUUGCGAUAUUGGACACUAUGGUAUAAACUGUCAACAUGUUUGUGGACAGUGUUACAAAGCAGAACAGUGCUUCUAUACCAACGGAAGCUGUUCUGGUGGCUGCAUGGAAGGAUACAGAGGAGAUAUGUGCACAGAGAGUAGAGAUCCGGACACACUGUAUGUUGCUGUCAUCGCUGCUCUUGUAGCCAUCAUUGUCAUCCUGAUAGCCGUCAUUACAGUACCUGUAGUUGUAAGAAAUACUUGCAAGAAAAGAGAAACAAACAGCCAAAUUAACGAAGUCAACAUGUAUGAUUUACCAUACGAAAAGCCAGAGAGCAGUGAAUAUAAUGUGAUCUUCGCCCAAUAAGAUACAUAUGUAAUGUUACAACAUAUACAUUUGUAUUAGAGUAUCUCAUCAUCGAAAUUUUGAAAUCCAAAGUGUUCGAAGGGGUAAUUUGUAUAAAGGAAAUUUGUGUGUCGGAUAGAAAUCAAGUAAACAGCAAGUUUUCCCAAAAGUAAUAUGAAUCAAGACGUUUUAGAUUUGACCAAAAAAUAAAUGAUAAAACAGUUUUGGCAAAUAAUGACUAACACAGGAUGAAUCUCUGCCAUUCAUUUAAAGUUAACUGAAAGGUAACUGAAAGGGGAUUGAAAGGCAUAGCUAUGCCAUUAAGUCACCUUUCCAGACAUUCAGUUAUCGUUUAGUUGACUGAAUGGCAGAGGUUUAUCCUGUUGAACGUAUGUAUGUAAUUUUUUUAGAUUUAUUAACAACAUGUUACUUUAGAAAAGAAAAAAAAAGUAAACAAUACUAAAAUUGUAUAUUUUGAACUUCACAUUCAACAAGUACGUGUACAUGUAUCAAUAACUUGGUCAUUGCUUAAUUUGUGAAGUGCUGCUAGAAUCCUGUGUUCUGUGUUAGUUUGAUACGCUUUAUGUGUUACCCGUAUAAAUGUUGAAAAGUGUUUUGAGAACCGACCGAAUAACAAUUAAAUUGAGGAUAACAGAG
rnacentral:misc_RNA from 1 species